UGGAGGAGACUCUGAUCCAGCAAUUACUGUGUGCACGAAGAAGGUUUUCGGAUUGUAAAGUGCUUUCAGUGGGGAAGAAGGAAGUUGACGGUACCCACAGAAGAAGCGACGGCUAAAUACGUGCCAGCAGCCGCGGUAAU
rnacentral:rRNA from 1 species